rnacentral:misc_RNA from 1 species
GAUGAAGAACGUAGCGAAAUGCGAUACGUAAUGUGAAUUGCAGAAUUCAGUGAAUCAUCGAGUCUUUGAACGCACAUUGCGCCCCCUGGUAUUCCGGGGGGCAUGCCUGUUCGAGCGUCAUUUCACCACUCAAGCCUCGCUUGGUAUUGGGCAACGCGGUCCGCCGCGUGCCUCAAAUCGACCGGCUGGGUCUUCUGUCCCCUAAGCGUUGUGGAACCUAUUCGCUAAAGGGUGUUCGGGAGGCUACGCCGUAAAACAACCCCAUUUCUAAGGUUGACCUCGGAUCAGGUAGGGAUACCCGCUGAACUUAAGCAUAUCAAUAAGCGGAGGA